AUCUGGCCGUAUAAUUUCUUUAAGAAGUUGGGGAUUCCUGGGCCAAGACCCCUGCCUUUUAUCGGAACUUUCCAUAAAUAUCGGAAUGGUAUGUUUUACUUUGACCAAAGAUGCUAUGAGAAAUAUGGCAAGAUCUGGGGAAUAUUUGAUGGCCGGCAACCUGUGAUGGCCAUUUUGGAUCCUGCCCUCAUUAAAACCAUUCUGGUCAAAGAAUUCUAUACCUAUUUCACCAAUCGCCGGGUAGGUACCUUUGGAGGUUGUGAGAACUUCACUGGGGCUGAGAAAUAGAAGGUCUGCAAGGGAACGUGGAAGAGCAGGCCUGGUAUUGUGGUUUGGGUG